CCGGUUCUGGUCACCGCACGCACCUUGGACCUUCCAAAAGUGGAGGGAUUUGCUGCCUUAAACACAACAGACAGCAGCACUAUUCUAAACUGGACCCGCGUGGCCAGUGUCUCUGGAUACAUUCUCUCCUGGAGGCACAUCUCAGUGCUGGAUACAAAAACAGAAACGCUGGGU